rnacentral:rRNA from 2 species
CGGCGAGUGAAGCGGCAACAGCUCAAAUUUGAAAGCUGGCCCUUUCAGGGUCCGCGUUGUAAUUUGUAGAGGAUGAUUCGGCGAGGGCUCCCGCCUAAGUCCCCUGGAACGGGGCGUCAUAGAGGGUGAGAAUCCCGUAUGCGGUGGGCUGCCUUAGCCAUGUGAAUCUCCUUCGACGAGUCGAGUUGUUUGGGAAUGCAGCUCUAAAUGGGAGGUAAAUUUCUUCUAAAGCUAAAUACCGGCCAGAGACCGAUAGCGCACAAGUAGAGUGAUCGAAAGAUGAAAAGCACUUUGGAAAGAGAGUUAAAAAGUACGUGAAAUUGUUGAAAGGGAAGCGCUUGCAACCAGACUUGUCCGCAGUUGCUCAGCCGGUCUCCUGACCGGCGUACUCUUCUGCGGCCAGGCCAGCAUCAGUUCGGGCGGUCGGAUAAAGACCUCGGGAAUGUAGCUCCUCUCGGGGAGUGUUAUAGCCCGGGGUGGAAUGCGGCCAGCCUGGACUGAGGAUCUCGCUUCGGCAAGGAUGCUGGCGUAAUGGUUGUAAGCGGCCCGUCUUGAAACACGGACCAAGGAGUCUAACAUCUAUGCGAGUGUUUGGGUGUCAAACCCAUACGCGUAAUGAAAGUGAACGGAGGUGGGAACCCGCAAGGGUGCACCAUCGGCCGAUCCUGAUGUCUUCGGAUGGAUUUGAGCAAGAGCAUAGCUGUUGGGACCCGAAAGAUGGUGAACUAUGCCUGAAUAGGGUGAAGCCAGAGGAAACUCUGGUGGAGGCUCGCAGCGGUUCUGACGUGCAAAUCGAUCGUCAAAUUUGGGUAUAGGGGCGAAAGACUAAUCGAACCAU